rnacentral:rRNA from 1 species
GUAUGUUAAACGAGAAGACUUUAGAUAUGAUCCAGAGUACCACGGGACACGUGAAACCCUGUGGGAAGCAGGAGGGACCACCCUCCAAGGCUAAAUACUACCUAGUGACCGAUAGCGUAUAGUACCGCGAGGGAAAGGUGAAAAGAACCCCGGGAGGGGAGUGAAAUAGAACCUGAAACCCUGCACUUACAAGCUGUGGAAGCACAUUUCUUGUGUGACCGCGUACUUUUUGUAGAACGGGCCAACGAGUUACGUUAAGUAGCAAG